GAAAAAUGUUGAAUAUCAACAAUGGGUUUCAGUGCUGUAUUGUUGAGUUUUGUAUGAACUAAUCUAGCUUCUCUAAAAAAAAAAAAAAAAAAAAAAAAAAGAAAGAAAAGAAAGAAAGAAAAGAAAGAAAGAAAGAAAAAAAAAGAAAAGAAAAAAAAGAGAACCACAGCUUUGGACAAAAGUCUAUAGCCAGUGCAUUUGAAAACUCCCCUUGCACCAGGGCUGACUGUAGCUGGGGGAAGACAUUUUACUCAUUUGCUCUUUCCUUUCAUACAGUCAGCUGGUCCCUCUUCUCAGGUGUAGAUCACCUAUUAUAAUUUUACCUAAUUUUGAUACUCUGAUAAGGAAAGUCCCAGGACUUAUCAGCUGGGAUAGGCCUCACUUACAAGACAGCUCUGUUCAGUAUUUGGAAGGAAAGCCUGACAGGUUUCUUCGGAAAAGUGGCCAUCCAUGGAAUGAAUGAAAUGUUCUCUUUCUAUUCCAGGGGAUUGCAGUGGCAAAGCUAGGCUAGGUCUUGGAGGCUGGUGUAAGGCGAUGUGGGUGAAGGCAGGAGGCUGAUGGAAAGACUGGGGGGAAGAAAAGCCGAAAUGGAUUCACGGUGCCUUGGAUGAAGGACGAGAGGGGAACUGCAAGCUCCUUCAACUGGUUCUGUCCGGUGAGAAGUGAUCAAGCUUGGGCUGACAAGAGGCUCAGGGAGCCCUCACGUUCUUUCGCUUUUUUACCUGCCAAUCAAACUGCUACAAGACAACACCCUGAUCUGGCAUGGACAUGCGCGGGUCCAAGCCUGUAGCCCCAAAUCGGAUAAUCUCUGCAGCUGAUAACAAGCAAAAGAGAAGCCAGGCAACAGCCAUAUUAAAGAAGAAAACAAUCAACUCUGAGGAUCCAACUUAGAAAUAAUGUUUCAUUCAAGAUAAGGCUCGUGGCUUAGGAGAUUGUGACCUGGCUUGCAUCAUUCUAAGACUUCUAUCGUCUGUUUUCAAAACCCAAGGAGGACCUCCUUUUCUGUGUGAUAGUUCCUCAUGCUUUGCCAGCCACUGGGUCUUUAAGGAAGCUUGCCAAGAGUUCCCGGCUGGGAAGGACAGUUCGAGUUCAUCAUAGACAAUGAGCUGGCACCACAGUUUAAGUGACUCACCAACCUGGUUGCCCACUUCAAAAUGUCAAGAACCACACUAUCUAAUUGAAAGAACUGUGUUUUAGCAAAGUGUAAUUGGAUCGCCUGGCAAGAUCAUCUCAAACUAUGUCUCUGACCUUGCCUUUCAGUGGCUAUUUUGAGCACAAGAGGAGAAAGGAAAUGAUUCCUGAAUUAUAUCUUGUUUUUAAAAAUUAAGAUUAAUUAAUACUUGGUUUUAUGUUCAUUCCAUUGUAGGAACUUAGUGAUUAUUACAAAACAGUCAAAAUAGGUCAUAGCAAAAUGAACGUUUAAGAUUAGGUUAAAACAUUCCUCUGAAAUUUUAGUAUUCACUUUUGAAGUGUCAAUUACUAUAUUUCUGUAAUUUCUCAUUUUUUUCUUGGCUUAGAGUCAAGAUGAAAAAUGAUAUUUGAAUCAAAGACAUUGUUUUGUUAUAUAGCCACUCCUUUCUAAAAUGCAAAUCCACCCUCCCCUCACCAAUGCUUUAUUCUUUGUGCGCGCACACACACACACACACACACACACACACACACACACACACAGACAUACACAGAACCAGCACCCAAAUGGUAGAGGAGGUCCUUCCAAGACUUCUAGGACCUGGAUCAUGUAAGCAGUAGAUGAGAAAAUGAAGUAAGAGAUAUAGAGUAAUAACAAUAAAAGUCAAUGAUUUCAUUUUACAAAAAAGUCAUUGUGUAGUACUCAGAUAUUUUUAAGAGCAAGUAUUAUUAUGACUAAAGUAUAUUAUACUUCUAAAUUAUUAUGAUUCUCAUCUAAUUUCAAGCCACACAUAGGCGCCAUUUGAAAGCAUUUUGUGUUACAACCUAUCAACAAAAAUCAACUAAUAGUUUUAUAACGUGCAUAGGUUUACCCCAUGGGGAAUUAAAAUUUUUAUCUGCAAGUAUUUCUGUUGUUGUGAGACUUUAGGACAAGACAACAUUUGGUGUUAACAUAGAAGAAUAUUCUAUGGCUUUUUUAGCUUUAAAGUUCAUUACUCUAAAAUAAAGUACACGUGGUAUUUUUUUCUUCCUAGUGUUCUCUUAUUAUAUGUAGAGUAUUUUCGGUUGUUGUUUUUAACGUAUACAUUAUUUUUAUUAAGUCAUUUCAUAAAAGAUAAGAUAUAUACUAAUAGACCCUUGGUUUUCUCCUAAUUUAAUUAUUUCAAGUCAAGCAAAAUUGGGCAAUUUUCUUUCAGGAAAAAAAAAAUAUUGAGCAUGAUUUUGAGGUAAAACUGAUUAUUUACAGCAUCUUUUCUCUAAUAGGCUAACAUUUAUGAUGGAUCUUAUUUCAAAGUUGAUUAUUCUCAAAGAAAAGUGGAGAUAUUAGAAUUUCCGAGUAAAUUGCAUUGUUUUAAAAAGUACUUUAAUGCAUUGUUCACAUUGUUGCCAGCUAUUGACCAAAAAAGAGAAGAAGAAAAAAGAAAUAAAAAAAGCAGUAUCUGCUCCAAACGUCAAGUUUUGCAGUUUGAAAGACUUGUACAUUAUAAUUGUUUUUUUCUUUUUUGGAAAGCAGUAGUAAUUAAUACCAAAGGCAUAGACAAUUUAGGGCCAUAACCUCCCUUCCCCCCUCUCCACCUUUUUUUUUUUUUUUUUUUUUUUUUAACUUUAACCAUGAUAGGCAUCUCUGCAAGGUAGGUUUUAACAUAUUUUUUUCCUAAUUUUUUUCCCUCCAUUCAGUAAGAAGGAUAAGCUUUUAGAGUACCCAGUCACCGUGGUAACUGCCAAAAAAAUUCUCCUGAAGUUUGAAGAGGUCAGCUAGCAGGGUCAACAACCCUGGCCUCUCUCUGAGCUCGGUCUAGCAUGCCCCAGCCUGCGGUUGGAGUGUCAGGCCAGAUCUGACCCUGGGAGGUGGACCAUUCUGGCUCUGAUAUAAAUUUUUCGAGUCAGUUCAUGGCCUGGACUCUCCAGGUGGCCUCCAAAAUCGAUUUUGACCCCCUGACCCUGUCUCACGGAGGCAUAGCAUCCACCCUAAGUAAGGAUUUAGCCAGGAAUGACAGCUUUCCACUGAGUGUUAUUGGGGACAGUAUAAACAGUUUGGAAAGCAAGUAAGGAGGUGUGAGGGCUAGCAAUCAUUAAAAGCACAUUAAAAAACAAUUUUUAAAAAUCUUUAUUAGAGAAAGUUGUAAAUGCAUAUCUGUUACAGAAUUCCUGUGAUUUGUAGAGUUUUCUAGUCAGUUUUGAAUAUAAAUAGGUCACAUAUCUUUAUCUUUUUGCAUACUUUGUUACAAAUAUGCAAAUAAGAUAGGCAUACUUGCUACAAAAUAGGUACAGCAGGAAUGUAAUAUGUUCAGAAAAGGCAAACUGGUUAUUAAAACACAUUAACAGGUAAGGAGUUUCUAAUAUUUUAAAUACUAAAAUUUUACAUGUGUAUUUUGAAGUUUUUAAAAUGGAAAAAUAAAGAACCUUUAAAAA
rnacentral:lncRNA from 1 species